GCGAGUGUUCAGCAAAUGUAUCAAUUACAACUAUUUUCGAUAUUGUCAGGUGAUCCCGAGUGCUACGAAUCACCGCAGUUGACAGAAGCUCAACGACAACACUUGCAAAACACAAAUAACNCAAGNGAUGACGCUGAACANCAUAUUCCGCGGGCACAACCAAAUGAAUUNAUUGAAUNGAGGACAAGAAGCCGUAGCAACGACUGCAUACUUAUGCUCAAUGAUGACGUNAUUCAAGGCGGUGAUGAAUUUUAUACAGAGGCAAUGGAUGAUUUUAACGAUAAACUUGCUAAAACGUUUCAAAUAGAAUCAAAACCUACGCCCGCGAUANCUAAACCACUACCAACACAGCACAAGCCAAAGCACAUGACUGGGCGUGUAACACAUCAGCACCCUAUGUCACGCAAUCCAGGGAAUAGUCCUCAGCGUUCGAAUAAUGCCAAGGCGAAUUCACNUCAUCAGAUGAAACAGGAUGUGGNUUUCUCUAAGCAAGCUGCAACGAGAGGGAGUGACUUCGCUCAAGCGAANGUAAGGCAGUACCAGGCUCAACGCGGAGCCAUGAAACAGAGCUCACACAGUGAANUCACAGCCAACCAAUCAAUGGAAGAGGAUUAUUAUUAUCAGAUGAUGCAAUCANUAGCCAAUCAAACACAUGAAGAGGAAGAGUUCUAUGAAAACCAAGAAAUGAUUGACGGCUUAAAAAGCACAGGGGGGCCGAAAGAUGACGAUGAAAUCUAUGAAAAUAAGGAAACCAUAAAACGGCAAAGAGCCAACCAAUAUCGUCAACACAUGACCACCGAUGAACAGCUGUAUAUGAACUACUAAAAUGAUGACGGUCACGUGAUCGCAAACAAAGGAAUAAGUGCCUGGGGACGAGGUUGAAACGNUUCUGUUGCAUCGAUGCAACAGAAUUUAUGCAUAUUUAGUUUUUAUUUAUUUCGCACAAAAUUAACCUUAAAACAAAAUGAAUCAAAACCAAAUUAACACACAAAAAAACAAGAAGCAUUUAUUUUAAAAUAUUAAAAAAGCAAAAAUCCUUGAUUUUCUGUANCAAGAACCGUCAUACCAUAUAUGACAUGAUAUACAGUGAAAAUUUUANUGCUGUUCUGUAUAUAAAGAGGCCUUUUAUGAGCUAUAGAAAAAAAUAUUUUUUUGCAGUUCAUUGCAAUAUCACAAUGCGAAGGUUCUUUCACUAGUUCGAAGUUUCAGCAGCGAAGAAAUGUCAAAGNCUUUCAAUAAUCGCCUCAAAAUUAACCACUUCGAUCAUAGCAUGAGAAAUUGUACAUUGCUCAGCUUCCUGCCAACAAACAAUUGCUUGCUUGAGUAUUUACUUUUAUUGUUUUUCUGCGCUUAUUUAAGCAUGACUUCUAAGUAUCCGCAUUGACUUAACUAUAGCUGGAAAAUAAAAGUCUUUGGGAAAGUCCCACUGGGAGUUGUUCGGAGAAUUUAAGUCGACAUUUUCGCAUGAAAGUAACUGCAGAAUAUUAUAUAAGUUGUCAGUUAGAAUUAAGGUUGUUUGUCAUCUAACAAUACAUCUACACUGUGUAAAUAAACUUUUAAUGCCUAAAAGUGACCAAAAUAACUUCUGCAUAUGCGCACAGCAGUUCAGUUCCCGGGCUUCCUGUGGUAUGACGUCNUAAGUGCAGACAAUUAGACCCCGGGAAAGUCCCGUUGAUGUCGCUUGGAAUAAAAUCCUUUAUUUCCGCAUGAAGUUAGAGUACAGCAUUAGUCUAUGUAUUACAACUAAGCAAGAUAGCUUGAGCUAAAAGACAAUAAUUUUUCGUCGCAGCCCAUUACAGGGAACAGAAGGUAUCCCAACAACUGCACGAUGUCGCUCCAAACGGACGUUACUUUGUAUUUAGUCGUUGGGUUGUUGGUCUGUCAACUUAUAAUACUCGCAUUACUGAUACUUUUUUGCAAAAAGUACAAACGGCUGAAAAAAACCGUUGAAAACUACAUCGCCACCGACGACCUUGAACGACAGAGAAGAUCAACAGACGCGAAAGAACACGCUAAAAACGAAUACAUCCCAAACAAAAGAGACACUAGCACACUUGUGCGGACAAACUCCAAAGAGAGUAUUGUCUUCGUACCCAGUCCUUUACCUAAUAGGAGGUCAAGAUUGGAAGAGGAAGGACUGGAUGUGACAACUACUACAGUUGUGCACAAUGAAGAGAAUUUUGGAUUUGUGAACGAUCAUUUUGAAUCUUCACCGAUUAAUGAAGUGCAUGUUGGCAAUGAAAUACCAACAAUCCACAUAGAGGAAGAACAAGAUAGGCAAGUGACAGAUCAAGAGGAGAUCUACGAGAACCAGGAGUUUGUCGCCAUGGCAAUGGACGGCGAAAAUCAGAACUAUAGACUACAGGUCGUAAAUGAUCCUACUUUUGAACAAUCUGGCGCCUCCUCAGUCGAUGAACCAAUUUAUGUCAAUCGUGAAAUGAUUGAACUACAAAUGCACACAAACUGAAAUAGAGCUUCUCGUUAGCAUAUUUGUAUGCGCAAAGAUAUAAUUAUGAUUAUUUUUAUGUUUUCAAUUUCAGUUUUAUAUUUUUUCUGAAAAAGAUUCUUAGACCGUUUUGACAUUGCGUGUAAAGGCCUGUUUCAGACGUCGAUCUUUUGACGCGUCUAAUCUAAUUGCUUGCAUAUGCAGUUCGCGAGAAGUUUGCUGUAUACUUCAAUUGAUNUUUACGGAUUAUAGUAAGUUUGUCCAACUGAACAAAGUCUACAAAUGUAAAUAAAUUCAGAGUACGAAAUGCUCAUAAACAUAACUCCAACAAUUUGAUUAGACAAAAGAUCGACGCCUGAAAUGGGCCUAAGAGUCGAAAUACUUAGCAUGCUAAUCUCGAUAAAAUUAUUUCAGUUGAAUGAUGUAAAUAUUUACGUGGAUAUAGAGAUUUUUUAGCUUCAAAUGGUGUUUAGGCAGUAGUUAAGAAAUAAUAUAUAUUAUGUUAUAUCA
rnacentral:misc_RNA from 1 species